rnacentral:rRNA from 1 species
AGACGACGCUGGCGGCGUGCCUAACACAUGCAAGUCGAGCGGGGACAUUGCGACGGAGACGAAGUACUCGUACGGAGUCAAAGAUGUAAUGUUCUAGCGGCGGACGGGUGAGUAACGCGUGAGCAACCUGUCCCUUACAGGGGGAUAACACAGCGAAAGUUGUACUAAUACCGCAUAAGACCACAGGAUGACAUCGUCCAGGGGUCAAAGGAGCAAUCCGGUAAGGGGUGGGCUCGCGUCCGAUUAGAUAGUUGGUGAGGUAACGGCCCACCAAGUCGACGAUCGGUAGCCGACCUGAGAGGGUGAUCGGCCACAUUGGGACUGAGACACGGCCCAAACUCCUACGGGAGGCAGCAGUGGGGAAUACUGGGCAAAUGGGGGAAACCCUGACCCAGCAACGCCGCGUGAGGGAAGAAGGUUUUCGGAUCGUAAACCUCUGUCCCAGGUGAAGAGGAAGAGACGGUAGCCUGGGAGGAAGCCCCGGCUAACUACGUGCCAGCCGCCGC